UUAUACUGAACCGGCAUGUCGCCAUUCUUCAGAGGUGCUGUUGCAGAAGAUUCAGGGCCAGGCACACUCGCCAUGUUCCGCAACAAGGUCCUCGUGCGCGCCGUCCCCGUCCCCUCCUCUUCCUCCUCCGCACCGUCGCCGCCGUUCCUCCUCCGCCAGGUCUCCUUCUCCGCCGCCGCUCCAUCCCUCGACCUCGACAUCCUCUGCUGCAGGCUGUCCCGCCGCCACCGUCUCGCGUGCCUCCCCCAGCCCCCAGCCGACGCCCUCGUGGUCUACCAGAGAUGCCAGUCUCGCGCGGCCGCCGAGGUGGCCUCCGAGAUCGCGGCUGCCUUCACGGGCGCCUCGGUUGGCGAGGAGGAGGAGGUGGUGUGCUCAGGCGCGCUGGUUGCAAAAGCGGUUGAGUGUGGACUGCGAUGUCUGACGCUUGAGCGUGGAUGGAGCUUUGUCGGGGAGAGCAUAUACGCCCAGUCCACGUUUGCUGCCAGUGAGGAGAGGACUGAUCUCUGCGUGUUGAAUGUGGAAGUCAGAUCUGGACUAAAUGAUGAUUAUGAGUUUGUUGUCUCACCUGAUGCAUUUCGGUUUACUACACUUAAGAUCUCAGAUGUUGCUAGCUCCAAUGUGAUGGAAACGUUCCAACAUAUUAAGGAAGUAAGUUUGGAUGGUUAUAACCUCCAGACAGCUUGUGCAAUUCUUCCAACAUUACAGGAAGGCCAUGUGAUUGGUUUUAGUGAACUACCUCCUUCUGGACAGAUCUUGGACAGCUUUACAAAGCUUUGCUCAGUUAAGCAUGGUUUGGAGAUGAACUACAGUUAUCAUGCAGCAGUCAAACUGACAUGCGGAGCUUCCUGCGAGAAGCAAUGGUUGCCUUCUCCAUUUGUCCUCCAAGGUCCGGGGCUUCAGCCUGCCCCAAAAUCUGUUAGAGCAUCAAAGGCAAUGUCUUCCAUGCGGUCUUUUAUAGAAUUGUUGAAAGCUUGGAAUUUCUUUGGUCAGAGUCAACUAGUAAUCAAGGAACAACUGGUAGUUAACUGCACAGCUACUCUGCCUACUUGGGAUAAAGCCACAAGUAAACUGGCAAUGCACACUGCAAGAGCCGAAAAUUCAGAGGAUCUUCGCUUAGUUCAUCCAGGUUUUAUGGCCAAAGACCAAUCAUUGACUUUAGACUUCCGGACCCCCAAACCAGCUGUCUUUUGCUCUUCGGUUGCCAAAUUGUGCAAUACCAAAGUUGAGAUAGCUCAGUCUUUGGAUGAUGCUGGCACUGGCGAUGACACACAUUCCAUCAAGCAUGGUUGUCAAUCAGAGUCUGUUGUCCUAACCAGUUCAUUCAAAUCACAAAUAACAUUAUUGAAGCCUUCAUUUAGCAGAAGUAAACGAGCAGAUAAAAACAAAACAAGCUGUUCUUCUGAACAAUCUGAUGCUGAUAGUUCAAACAGAUCGAGUGAAACCAGCCUACCAAAAUCGUCACUUGGAAGUUUUCCUAAAGCAAGCCAUGCUAAUCCUGUCGAUUCAUCAUGUGCAAGUCUUCUCAAGCAAGUCAUUCAGACUUCUGUGAAUCCUAAAAGGAAGCAUGCAGAGAUUCUAGAAAACAGUGGUGAAGGAGGAACUGUAAAAGUGCACCAAAAGGAUUGUUGUGAAAAGAGGAACUUGGAUACGAGGAAGAGUAAAGAUUGUGCACCUAAUGUCCCGCAAGACACAGCAUCAGUGCUACAUAUUCAGAAGGAUGUGUUUAGAACAAAAGUAAAACCGACAAAAUCAAAGUCUAUGGUUGGCAAGAAUGAGAUAACUGCUGCAACAACUUCGAAAAGAAAGCCAGAAGUUGUCAAAGACGAGCUAACCAAAAAGGCAAUAGAUCAUCAAAAGGAUGUUACUAACAAGGUGACAAAGGCAAAGCCAGGAAGUGUUAAGGAUGAGUCAACUUCAAUAACAAAGACAAAAACAAAGCCAGAUGUUGAUAAGGACGAGUUAACUGCAAAGGUGAUAGAUCAUCAUAAGCGAGGUCAGCUGCGUCUGCUUACAGUUGCUGAUCUAAAGUGCUUUCUCAGUGCAAAAAAAGCAAAAGUUGGAGGUUCAAAGGAAGUGCUUAUCCAAAGAGCAACUGAACUCCUUUCUUGACAUUAGUACAGAUUAUGCACGUAAUGUCCCGCGAGACACAACAUCAGUGCUAGAUAUUCAGAUACUCAGAAGGAUGUGCUUAGAACAAAAGUAAAACGGACAAAAUCAAAGUCUAUGGUUGGCAAGAAUGAGAUAACUGCUGCAACAAAAUCGAAAAGAAAAGCCAGAAGUUGUCAAAGACGAGCUAACCAACAAGGAUUUUUUUUUCAGGCAAUAGAUCAUCAAAAGGAUGAGUUAACUUCAACAACAAAGACAAAAACAAAGCCAGAUGCUGACAAGGAUGAGUUAACUGCAAAGGUGAUAGAUCAUCAUAAGCGAGGUGAGUUUGCGUCUGCUUACAAUUGCUAAUCUGAAGUGCUUUCUCAAUGCAAAGAAGGAAAAAAUUUGGAGGAUCAAAGGAAGUCCUUAUCCAAAGAGAAACUCUGAACUCCUCUCUUGACAUAGGUAUUUCUAUUAACACCAAGUACUUCCAGCGUAAAAUACUGUGUUUGCAACAUGGUGUUUCUGUAUAAUCAACCUGCUUCCUCUACUCUGUGCUUAUAAUUCGAGUUUGUCUUCAUGAUAUUCAAAAGACUCUUGAGAAAACAUGGUGUUGUUAGAACUUCAGUUUUCUUUUGUCGCCAUCUAGGACAGUGCAACAACUUAUGGGAGCUACAAGCUACACAUAGUCGCCCACACCAACCACUGAAACCGGUUUGGCCCUACAUUCUGGCUGGUGCCACAACAGACCAUGGCUAGUAAAUCACAGAUAAUAUCUGAAUGACAACAAACAAUUGUUGCUCCUCUAGGAGGGGAAAAUGGUGCCUGAUCAAGAUAAUGGUUUUCCGUGGACCAAUUCAAGUAUUUACAUGAUUAAUCUGUAGAAUUAUUGAUAUCAUAGUGAUGCUGCAUAUGCGUUGAUUAAUAUGGAGGGCACCUAUUUCUGAGGUUCGCUAGUUACUGGUGCUCACACGGGAAUUUGAUGGAGAAAUGCAAACAAAGACACUACUGGGCAUGGUGGACCAUGCGUAGAAUGUCCACUCAAAAUUCCAGUGAGGAUCUUGUACUUACUAGUUUCGGUGUGUUUGCUGAGAUUCCAGACAGCCAUCAGAAUGUGUGUCAAGUUUUCCUGGGACUGUGUCCUUCUGUGUC